AAUAGAUACCCUGGUAGUCCACGCCGUAAACGAUGGAUGCUAGCUGUUAUGCGUAUCGACCCGUGUAGUAGCGAAGCUAACGCGUUAAGCAUCCCGCCUGGGGAGUACGAACGCAAGUUUAAAACUCAAAGGAAUUGACGGGGACCCGCACAAGCGGUGGAGCGUGUUCUUUAAUUCGAGGCUAAGCGAAGAACCUUACCAGGGCUUGACAUCCUUGGAAUUUCUCCGAAAGGAGAGAGUACUUUAUUGGACCAAGUGACAGGUGCUGCAUGGCCGUCGUCAGCUCGUGUCGUGAGAUGUUUGGUUAAGUCCAUUAACGAGCGCAACCCUUAUGAAUAGUUGUAUUUUUCUAUUCAGACUGCCCCGGUAACGGGGAGGAAGGGGGGGAUGAUGUCAGGUCAGUAUUGCCCUUACGCCCUGGGCUAGAAACGCGCUACAAUGGCCGGUACAAUGCGCUGCCAACCCGGCGAGGGGGAGCAAAUCGCAUCAAAGCCGGUCCCAGUUCGGAUAAGAGGCUGAAACCUGCCUCUUGAAGCCGGAAUCGCUAGUAAUCGGU
rnacentral:rRNA from 1 species